rnacentral:rRNA from 1 species
AUUGAACGCUGGCGGCAGGCCUAACACAUGCAAGUCGAGCGAGCGGCGGACGGGUGAGUAAUGUAUGGGGACUGCCCGAUAGAGGGGGAUAACUACUGGAAACGGUAGCUAAUACCGCAUCCUAUCGGAUAACCCAUAUGGGAUUAGGUAGUGGGUGAGGUAAUGGCUCACCUAGGCGACGAUCCCUAGCUGGUCUGAGAGGAUGAUCAGCAACGCUGGGACUGAUACAAGGCCCAGACUCCUGCGGAGGCAGCAGUGGGGAAUAUUGCACAAUGGGCGAAAGCCUGAUGCAGCCAUGCCGCGUGUAUGAAGAAGGCCCUAGGGUUGUAAAGAACUUGCAGUCGGGAGGCGUUAACGACAGAAGAAACACCGGCGAACUCCGUGCCAGCAGCCGCGGUAAUAC